rnacentral:piRNA from 1 species
UGGAAUUGUUAGACUUUUCUCUCUGGAGUCC